rnacentral:rRNA from 1 species
UACGUAGGGGGCGAGCGUUGUCCGGAUUUAUUGGGCGUAAAGAGCUCGUAGGCGGUUUGGCAAGUCGGGUGUGAAAACUCCGGGCUCAACUCGGAGACGCCACUCGAUACUGCCAUGACUCGAGUCCGGUAGGGGAGUGCGGAAUUCCUGGUGUAGCGGUGAAAUGCGCAGAUAUCAGGAGGAACACCGGUGGCGAAGGCGGCACUCUGGGCCGGUACUGACGCUGAGGAGCGAAAGCGUGGGGAGCAAACCGG